rnacentral:rRNA from 1 species
UGGGGAAUAUUGGACAAUGGGCGAAAGCCUGAUCCAGCCAUGCCGCGUGUGUGAAGAAGGUCUUCGGAUUGUAAAGCACUUUAAGUUGGGAGGAAGGGCAGUAAGUUAAUACCUUGCUGUUUUGACGUUACCAACAGAAUAAGCACCGGCUAACUUCGUGCCAGCAGCCGCGGUAAUACGAAGGAUGCAAGCGUUAAUCGGAAUUACUGGGCGUAAAGCGCGCGUAGGUGGUUUGGUAAGAUGGAUGUGAAAUCCCCGGGCUCAACCUGGGAACUGCAUCCAUAACUGCCUGACUAGAGUACGGUAGAGGGUGGUGGAAUUUCCUGUGUAGCGGUGAAAUGCGUAGAUAUAGGAAGGAACACCAGUGGCGAAGGCGACCACCUGGACUGAUACUGACACUGAGGUGCGAAAGCGUGGGGAGCAAACA